UCAUCAACGGAAAAACCACUUGAGAAGGACACCAGUACAGAGGGGAGGAAGCCAAGCCAAGAGGCUGGGAGAGCCGAUUCCUGCUGACGGCAUCAAGCACCCAGGCUGUCAGCUGUACGAGAAUGGCGACCUCUGUGUGCUUCACUCUGCUGUGCCCGGUGUCUGGAGCUGGCCCACAGGCAGUAGGGCCUCAGUGGUGUGCGCUGGGCAAGUGAACACCGCCGACCACAAGCAAGCACAUUUCUGGGAGUUCUCAGUGUUACUGGCUCACUCGCUGUUUAUGGAGCCCCGCUCUGUGCCCUGCCCCGACUUAGGCCGCAGGCACGACGUCAGUGAAGGAGACGAGAAAAUAAACUCUGCUGCCCCCAUGGAGCUGACAUCGCAGAGGGAAACAAAGAGUGAGGAGAGCACAGCAGAGCCCACGGUGCAUGAGCAGCCAGCAGUGUCUUCUCCAACGGAAGCCCAUCACGUCGCUCCCUGCGCCUGGACCCCCUGCUCCUUGGAACAAAACCCAAAGCCCUUGCUGUGGAACUGAACUUGGACUAAUGAGGGAGCUCGGAGGCAGCCGCGGCCCCAGCCAGCCAGGGCCCAGGCUCACAGAAGAGGAGGAGAAAGCCUCGUCAGCAGAGCCUUCUGUUAUCAGAGCUGACUGCUCUUCCAGGCCGUGAGCUGGGGGAUAUUUAAGCUUGGAGACCCAGCGAGAAAUGCACCAGUGGGGAGUGGUCCCAGAAACAAGGGGUGCUGGCCCAACGCCCCACUCCCCAGCCUCACACCCCACCUCUGUCUUGUAUGCUCCUGACACUCUAGCUCCUGUCUGGAAGGCCUCUGCUCCAUUUCCUGUGGUCAGAGCUGUGUCUCGGGACCCUGCUAGACACCACUUCCCUAAGAUGCUGUCCUGACACGGCCAGCAGCAGCGAGCGUGUGCUGUGCUGGGCAUGUCCUUCCUUUGUACCUGUGAACAGGUGACUGUACGAUGGGGAAGUCCCCAUCUUGUCUUCCCAGCUGGACCGUGCUCUUUGGGCAGGAUCCGUGUCUGAUUCACCUCGGGGAGCCCGACAGGGUUUGGUCAAGUGCCCAGCAUGUGGGCUUCACAGAGAGUGAACCUCGUGGGCAAGAGUGUCUGUGGGAAACUGAACAAUUCAGUGUGAGUAAAGUGCAAGGAGGGGGUGGUGGCGAAAAGGUCUGCAGGGGGACAGGUCACAGAGGGUCCCGAAAGCCCACUCAGGCACUGGGACUUGCCCUGAAGGGAAUGAGAGCCCUGGGCGGAUUUCAAGCAGAGCAACACUGGUGGAUCACACAUUGGGCUGUUUGGCGUAAAGGAAACCAAAACGGGGGACAUGCAGGGGGAGCGACAAGACCCCCAGCCCAUCCCCAGCCCUCUUCUUACUUCCCCUGGCCCUGCUCUCUAUGGACGAAGGAAAAUCUUCUCUGCCCGCUCAGAUGCUGGGACCGUGCUGGGGCCGUCUCGUGAGAAUGUGGAAAGACUCUGCACACAGUGCCACCCGCCUUGCAAGCAGCAGCCAGCGGCCUCCUGGACAUCCUCAGCGUCUUAGGAGGCCAGGCAGAAGCUCUCUGACAGAUGAAUCCUCCUCUGGACCCCCCAGGAUGUCUGGCUUCCCGUGAGCUCCUCUGGAACCUUGAGCAGGCUGAACAGCCCGCACCUCGGUCACGACUCUCAGCGGGACUGCUCUGUGCCACUGUCAUAAAAAGGAGAAAUCAUCCCAGGGGACAGGCCCAACUCAUGCAUAAUAGUCAGAAAACUCAGCUGUACCUGGAAGUGACCUGAGGCUGCUUUUUGGGCCCACACCCGUGCCACUUCUCUGGCUCCCCACACAGGCUGGCUCACGGGGCUUGGUUCCCCUAUCAUGGACCUCUUGGUUGUAGAUAAUAAAGGCCACAGGAUCGGAAGUUUCCCUCGGUCCUUCUGGAAAUGUUAGGUAACGUUAGUACACAGUUUCUCCCUUUCUGCCCUGCACCAUGGCUCCCAGCCUUUUCCCUUCAGAACCACAUUCAUUGCUGCUGAGAGUUACCAUAAUAAUUCUAAGUCAUUUUUCCACUUUGUCGUUCUGAUUAACUCCAAGUACUACAUCACUACACACUUCUCAAACUGGAGCAUGCACGGCCCCAUUUCUGUGUAGGGAGAAUGCAAAAGUAACUGUGACACACCUUUCUGGAGCAUCCAGUUGAUUACAAGACUUGGAAGACCAAGGACUUUACCAGAACUGUCCCUCUACCCUACAAACAUGGAAGAAGAGAUGGAGGGGACAGGAGAGGGAAGAAGUGCCCGAGGAAAAGCAGCCCAGCCUCUGAAGUUUCACCCAGGUUGGGGCCAAGGGGCACACCUGCAGCGAGGUGGCCUCUCCUCGUGUCCCCAGGCACCUCCAGGCCGUCCUCGAAGUUCACCAAGUAUCUUGGAUAUAUGCUUCUGAAGGCCAUGGAGAUGCCAGAUGCCAUUCUGAUGUGAAUCCCGUGUGGAGGAGGCUGCAGCAGCUUGCACACCUCCAUCGUCUGCUGGACCAAAUCCUCUCACCUGGAUGUCCGCGCACAUAUGGCGUGUGCUUCUCGCACUGCUCCCGCUCACAGCUGAAUGCAUCUCACCUCUGGCCAAACUCCCUCGCCACUGUGCCAGCCUGUGGAGCUCGGCAUCUUGCUCUCCAUUUAAAACGCAGGGGUUUGGCUUGACCUCCCCACCAUCUUUGAUUUGGACCCUGCCAUGAGAUCAAAUUGGCUUCACUCUAUUGUGUUUGCCAUGCCGGUUCUUGCUGGGCACACAGAAACAGAAGCGUCUUAUAAAGUUUAAGAAUCUACCAGCGGACCUCCUUGGGCCCUGGCUGGGGCCAGAGGGAGAGGCUGGGGUCGCCCCAGCACGCUGCCCAGCGUGCAGGAAGGUUCCACUGCAGGACACACCCUGGGGGCAGUUGCUUUCCGCUGGGCCGCCACUACUGUUGCUGGUGCUGUGGGUGGAGGGGAAGGCCCCAGGGCCGUUCUGGAGGGUUGGGCUGGGGGUGGCAGUUCUCGACUCCAGGCUGGCCGGGGUACUGGCAGGCUCUUUGGCCUUUGGCCCUGACCCCUGUUUCUCCCCAGGCUGCUGAUUUUCUGCCUUGCAGAGCCAGAUGCGAAAACCAUGUUCGCUGUGAUCACGUCUUCCUGGGAGUGCAAAGGCCUUCAGAUGCACCGUGCAGGUCUGGGAAGAGCUGCAGCUGUUGGGGUCAAUGACCUUACAGUGACGGUGUGACCCUCCACCCGGGGUUUCUUGGAACUAAGCAUCAGGCACGUGGACGUAACAUCGUCAUACCUCCUUCUUGUUAAGGAAUCCUGGAUCUUGUCCCACUCAAAGCCCAUGUUCAUCAUUACCUGUGUCACCCAGGAGUCCCUGUUGUCACAGGGCAGCUCCUGGUAAGGCCUGAGUCUCUCCUGGCCCAUAUUGACCCACAGGUCCUCCAGGACAUCUUUUAAACUCCUUUUCUUGCUGGGGUCAAGGGUCAUCAGUUCUUUCAAGAGCCUUCUGCAUUCCAGUGAAAGGAACAUGGGAAGCGGGUAUCGCUGGCUCAGCACCAGCUGCUGCACUGUGCAGAUGUCCUCUCCCAGGAUAGGUGGGACCCAGUGACUAUAACGUAAAGAAUAACGCCAAGGUUCCAGAUAUCAGCCGGGGGACUGUAUAGCCUGGGCCCUGGAAGGUCUCCAGGCAGUAUAACCAGGCCACUGCAGUACGCGCUCAGCUUGCACCCGACGAACACGUUGCUGAGGCUGAAGUCCGCCAGCUUCACAUUCAGUUCAGCAUCCAGAGGCAGGUUCUCCAGGCUCAGGCCCCUGUGGACAAUGCCUCUGUGGUGGCAGUAUCGGAGAGCCGAGCCGAGCUGCCGGAAUUUUCCUUGGGCCUCUUCCUCCAGCACGCCGCCGUGGUUUCAUAAGUAAUUGAGUGUGUCUCCUCCACUAACGUCCUCCAGGACGAAGAACAAUGUUUCCUCCGUGUCAAUCACCUCAAACAACCUUACAAUAUGGGGGUGACUCAAGGCCUUCAGGCUGUGGACUUCACGGAAAAGUUCCCUGAUUCUGGUGAGGCUGUGUCAAGUCUUGCGAAUGACUUUAACAGCCACCUCUGUCACGGUUGGGAUGUGCCAGGCCAACUUCGCGCUGGAGAAGAUACCCUUUCCAAUGGUCUUGAGGAGCUCAUAAUUGUUAACACAGGUCUUCUUGUUGGCAGAGGUGGCUGCAAGGCCCAGAAGCAUGGUGACCUGCUAACUACAUUAACUGACAAUACUAACAAUGCUAACUAUGCUUACUAACUACGCUAACAAACAAAACUAUAGUAUGCUAACUACUAGUAACUAAUGAUACUAACAAUGCCACCUAUGCUUACUAACUAUGCAAAUAAAUAAUACUGACUAAACAUGCUAACUACUAACUAUACCAACAAUACUAACUGUCCUAACAAUACUAAAUUUAAAAAUUAAAGAAAAUGAGAAAGAGAACAAAGAAAAAAUGAGAAAAGUACAAAGGGAAAUUGAGAAAAAGAAAAAAUAAAAAAGUGAGAAAAAGAAAGGAAAAAUGAGAAAAAGA